CACCACAAAGGCAGAGGGGUUGGGGGUGGAACUUCAUGCUGAACUUGUUGGCUGAACUACAUAUUCAACAGGUUGUGAAAGAAAAAUAAAUCUCAGGACCCCAAAUUACUAAGCCUAAGGGAGAAGUCAAGCUGGGAACUAUGUCAGGCAAACCUGCCUUCCAUUCUUUGUUUAAUGAGAUA